AAGUAUGAGGCAUUCUUUUAAUAAGGACCAUUUUUAAAUGUUAAGGAAGACUUGUUUUAAUUGAAGGAGGGGAAAGGAACUCCUACCAAGAGUCGAAGAGAUCCCCCAGAGCUCUCUGAAGUCUUCAAACUCUCUUGUAUAGAACAGCCUGAGAAUCAGCAAUGAACAGAAGGUCAUGAAAAAUGUCCCACCCUGUUAAUGUACAUGAAGAUGAGAGAGAGAAAAUCUUACUCCUAGCAGUGCCAUACAUACGGAGGAAAAAAGGUGACGUACAUUUAAUAUGCACUAGAAAUUGUUUAUCUUGUACUGUUUUGCUAUCCCUUUAAGAUAUGCUGAUUUGAACUGGUUGUCAAUGCAACAUCACUUAGUCGGUCUUCAUCUGGACCUUAGAGCACAACAAAAUUAUUGGUACAUAAA
rnacentral:lncRNA from 1 species